rnacentral:rRNA from 1 species
CAACGCUGGCGGCGUGCCAACUUACAUGCAAGUCGUACGAGAAAGUUGGCUUCGGCUGAUGAGUAAAGUGGCGCACGGGUGAGUAACGCGUGGAUAAUCUGCCUUUUAGUUGGGAAUAACGUACCGAAAGGUGCGCUAAUACCGGAUAAUACUGCAUAACUACUGUUGUGUAGUCAAAGAAGGGCCUCUGUUUACAAGCUUUUGCUGAAAGAUGAGUCCGCGUACCAUUAGCUAGUUGGUAGGGUAAUGGCCUACCAAGGCUACGAUGGUUAGCUGGUCUGAGAGGAUGAUCAGCCACACUGGAACUGAGACACGGUCCAGACUCCUACGGGAGGCAGCAGUGAGGAAUAUUGCGCAAUGGGGGCAACCCUGACGCAGCAACGCCGCGUGAGUGAGGAAGGUUUUCGGACCGUAAAGCUCUGUCGAGCGGGAAGAAAUGUAUCGUGGCUAAUAUCCAUGAUAUUUGACGGUACCGCUAAAGGAAGCACCGGCUAACUCCGUG